AUAUUUUAAAAUUGAAAUUGAUAGUUUACACAAUGUGUCCCAACACCAGUCUCCGAUCCUUUAAUGUUAUGAAAUAUACAUGGCAUUUUUAUCGAUGAAAUGGC